rnacentral:rRNA from 1 species
AUUGAACGCUAGCGGGAUGCCUUACACAUGCAAGUCGAACGGAGUGGCGAACGGGUGAGUAAUGUAUCGGAACGUGCCCAGUAGCGGGGGAUAACUACGCGAAAGCGUAGCUAAUACCGCAUACUAUUGGAGCGGCCGAUAUCGGAGUAGCUUGUUGGUGGGGUAACGGCUCACAAAGGCGCCGAUGCGUAGCGGGUUUGAGAGGAAGACCCGCCACACUGGGACUGAGACACGGCCCAGACUCCUACGGGAGGCAGCAGUUGGGAAUUUUGGACAAUGGGGGAAACCCUGAUCCAGCCAUCCCGCGUGUGCGAUGAAGGCCUUCGGGUUGUAAAGUACUUUCAGCGAGGAGGCGUUACUCGCAGAAGAAGCACCGGCUAACUCCGUGCCAGCAGCCGCGGUAAUUC